ensembl:lncRNA
GUGCUGAAGGCCCUGGGCUGGUGGAGGAGCUGGUGGCGGGCCUGCCUGGUGAAUGACGUCUGUCGUGGGACCAGGACUCUGUCUGAGGAGAGCUGCUGGAGGAGCUGAGACGCUGGAGGACGACUAGGAAUCGACCAACAAGGAUUCCUCAACGUGUUUCUGGAGCGGAGGCGAGCUGGUAGGGGAGCCGUGAAUCUGGAGGAUGACCAUCACUCUACCAACAAGGAUUUCUUUAGGGCCAGACUCGCGCUGUUUGUUCCAGACCAGGACUCUGGCUGAGGAGAGCUGAUGGAGGAGCCAAGACUCUGGAGGACGACAUCACUCCACCAACCAGGAUCCUUACACACCUGAGCUGAACCUCACCUGAUCCUGUUUGGUCGGGGGUAGACACACCUGAGCUAAACCCGCCCUGAUCCUGACAUCCUGCUGGUCCCGUCUCCUCAGUUCAUCUGAGCCUCGUCCUCCAGAAGACCUGCUGAGCUCAGCAGUCUGAGGCUGAUGGAUCAAUGACCUCCAGUGGGAGUGAUCUUCUUGACCCCACAUGUAACCGUGUGCUUCCACACGCCUUUCCCUCACGUCUGUCACUAACCUCACUACUUCACUACUCUCUACUGCUUCCUCUUCUUCUUUCCUUCUGUGGUUCAAACCUUUACACUGAAGGCGCGUCUUCCUGCCCUCAGAGGGUUUAGCGUUAGGGUUGAGAGUCAGGGUUUAGAGUCAGGGACAGAGCUGGUCAGGGAG